GCGCCUGUAGCUCAGCCUGGAUAGAGCAGCGGACUUCUAAUCCGCCGGUCGGAGGUUCAAAUCCUCUCAGGCGUA
rnacentral:tRNA from 1 species